GAUGUUGCUUCCAAUAGAAAGGGCUUCCGAAUUCCGAAUAUAUUCCGCGUCCUAGUACAGCGUUGCGCCAACGUUUCGCAAACGUUGCAGUUUGCAUCAUCAGGACUAGGAGCUCCGAUUAUAAUUAUAUUUUUUAAUUUCAGCCAGGUUUCAUCCGAUUUCACACAGACCAAUUUUACACAUCUACUUUGACUGCCAAAGAAGGUGGCCUCAUAUUUGAUGCCUACUGACAUCCCUUUAUGAAUUCAUGGGAACCUAUGAUGCUUGGGAAUAGCAUAACUUAGUUCUGGACAGAGACAAUGUGUAGUUCUAAUAACAAAAUUACAACUUAAAUUUAUGGAUAGUGUUUGUAUGUUGAACAGAAUAAAAACGAUUGUAAAUCCUUGAGGUGAUGAGUGGCAGUGAUGUCAUAGUAAGUAUAGUCAAUUCAUAAUCGCAGCGUUGUUCCAAUUCUCAAGGGGAUUCUACAAUGUGAUGCGGUUGCUAAAAAAAUUUGCUCAAUUUUCAACUUUUAGUUGAACCUCCUUUACCACAUGUUUGCGUUUUAUACGAGAUUGAUUGGAAUGAGAAAUUAUGAACAAAGAGAUCUGAAUUAAAUGAUAACCCAAUUUAAGAACCCAUAUUGACCUUUUUUUUUUCAACCUAUAUUUACAGUAUUUAAUUGUAAAAAUUUGUAAAUGCUUAUAUUUUAAUUUACAUUUUAAAUUACAUUAAACAAAAUAAAUUAUAUGUAUACAUA